UGGGGAAUAUUGGACAAUGGGCGCAAGCCUGAUCCAGCAAUGCCGCGUGAGUGAUGAAGGCCUUAGGGUUGUAAAGCUCUUUCGCACGCGACGAUGAUGACGGUAGCGUGAGAAGAAGCCCCGGCUAACUUCGUGCCAGCAGCCGCGGUAAUACGAAGGGGGCUAGCGUUGUUCGGAAUUACUGGGCGUAAAGGGCGCGUAGGCGGCCUGUUUAGUCAGAAGUGAAAGCCCCGGGCUCAACCUGGGAAUAGCUUUUGAUACUGGCAGGCUUGAGUUCCGGAGAGGAUGGUGGAAUUCCCAGUGUAGAGGUGAAAUUCGUAGAUAUUGGGAAGAACACCGGUGGCGAAGGCGGCCAUCUGGACGGACACUGACGCUGAGGCGCGAAAGCAUGGGGAGCAAACAGGAUUAGAUACCCUGGUAGUCCACGCCGUAAACGAUGAAUGCUAGACGUCGGGGUGCAUGCAC
rnacentral:rRNA from 1 species